GGCUGGUCUGAUGGCAGUGGGUUAUCAAAACUUAUUGACAUUAGUGUCACUAAAGGUGGUAUACAUCCCCCCCCCCGCCAAUUGCUAAUUUGACUGGCUUUAA
ensembl:misc_RNA Y_RNA Y RNA